UGCUUCUCCAGGGUCUUUCUCAGGCAGUUAACCCAAUAUUUAUCAACUCUCUCCCUAGGCCCAGCACUUGGCAGAAUUUUUUUCUAUUUUGUAAAAGUAUGAGAUAUUCCUUGCUGUUUAGUAUUUGACAGUGUGGCUGGAGAAGUAAAGAUGGACAGACGGACCCCUCCCACCCACCCCUCCUUGCUGACCACUUGUCCCAUGCCUUUCCAGUUCUGUCAGGCCAAGCAGAAGGCAGCCUUGCUGGAGCUGCUGCAUGAACUCUACAACUUCCUGGCCAUCCAAGCUGGUAAUUUUGAGUGUGGAAAUCCAGAGAAUCUAAAAAGCAAAUGCAUUCCUGUUAUGGAAGCCCAAGAAUAUAUAGCCAAUGUGACCAGCAGCUCCUCCGCCAAGUUUGAAGCCGCACUGACCUGGAUACUGAGCAGUAACAAGGACGUGGGCAUCUGGUGAGUGUGGGCAGGGUAGCGACGCAGCAUGGGUGCCUGCAGCCACUGUCCUCGCUCGUCAGCUAACACCUGUGCUCCAACAGAGCUGUCUCAGGUCU
rnacentral:sRNA from 1 species